CCGUAAAUGCUUGAGGUUUCGUCUGAGCAUCUAUCUCAUAGGAUACAACGAAAAAUUAGUAAAAACUGAGCACUUAGGUUUUACUUUGGCAAACUGAAAUUCUAUCAGAACAGGAGCAUCAAAACUUUGGAUAGAAAAGAAUUUAGCAUACAGAAACUAAAAACUGUAUGAGAGAAAUUCAUGUUUGUUUGAGUUGAAAUUGCAGUAAAUUUAUGAAUGUAUAAAGUUUUCUCUCUACCAAUUUACAGUGUGCUGAGUACAAUAUUUAUAUACAUUCUUAGAGUGAUGAGCAAGAAAAGAAAUAACUAACUUAGCCUACACUUAUCAUACACUCGAGAAUCUGUAUGGUUAAAACAACCAUGGUCCCACAGUUGCAUACUACCAGCUGGCAGCAUCCAUGUGCAGCUUACCAGAUUGCUGACGUGCGCUCAAUUGAUUUAUAUUUCAACAUCCUCCCUCAAGCUGGAGUCAACUACUUUACUCCAAGCUUGUCCUUGAGAAGUAAAAAUCUAGUGUGUGAGAGGCUUAGUUAACAAAUCUGCAAUUUGAUCUGACGAAGGAAUAUAUUGUAUAUUCAGCUUUCUUUCAAGAACCCUAUCCCUCACAAAAUGUAUAUCAAGCUCAAUGUGUUUUGUCCGAGCAUGAUAAACAGGAUUUGAGGCUAAUGCACUUGCACUGAGAUUGUCACACCAUAAUAUGGGAAUUGGUUCAAGAAGCAGUUUGAUUUCUUUGAGCAGUGAUUCAGUCCAAACUAUCUCAGUAGUUGCAUGUGCUAGAGCUCUGUAUUCUUAUUCAAUGCUGGACUUGGCUACAACUUGUUGCUUUUUGGAUGACCAAGUCACUAAUGUAUCUCCUAAGAAAAUACAAUAAUCAGCAAUCGACCUCCGUCAUCAACAUGAAGCCCAGUUUGCAUCAGCAAAUCCAAUGAUCUGUAUUCUGUCAUUUCUUUGAAUCCACGAGCCUUGCUCAAUUGUUCCUUUAAGGUACUUGAAGAUCCUUUUUACUGCCUUCCAGUGUACAUCUGAAGGUACCUGUAGAAAUUGACUCAUUUUGUUCACGGCAAAGGUUAUAUCAGGCCUUGUAUGUGCUAGAUAUUGUAAUCCUCUAACUGCACUUUGAAUAGAGAAGGAUUUACCAUCUUCUCACCUUCAUUUUUGGAGAUGCACUUCCCUGUUAUCAUAGGAGUUGCACAAGGUUUAAGGUUCUCAAAACUGAAACCUUUUUAGCAACUCUUUUGUGUCCUUGAUCUGAGCGAGAUGCAUGCCUGAUUCAGAUCUCCUUACUUCAAUUCCCAGAAAUUGAUGUAACUCACCCAUAUCUUUUAGUGCAAACUAAGUGUUUAAUUGUCAAUGAAGCACUAUAGCAAUUUAUGAUCAUUUCCAGUGAUUACUAUAUCAUCAACAUACUAACGCAAAAACGACUUGUUUCCCUGUCAGAACAAGGAGUUGUUUGCUUUGGACUUCACAAACUUCCAUUUUAAAAGUGUUUUCUUCAGUUUCUCAUACCAUGCUUCGGGUACUUGUUUGAGCCCACAAAGAACUUUCUCAAGUUUGCACACGAAUGUGGGAUUUGCCUUGUCAACAAAGCCUUCUGGUUGGCUCAUGUAUACUUCUUCCUCUAACUUUCCAUUUAGGAAAGCAUUAUUUAUGUCAACUUGUCUGAUACUCCAUCCUUUCUAGGCUGCCACUGCAAGUAUUAUUCUUAGAGUAGAGGCUUUGAUUGCUGGGCUAAGAGUCUUGUAAAAAUCAACACCUGGAGUUUGCAAGAAUCCUUUUGCCACCAGUCUGGCUUUGUACUUUAUUACCUUCCCUACAAUGUCCAUUUUGGUUCUAAAUAUCCAUUCAUUUCCUAUCACCUUUUGAUUAACUAGUGGUGGUACUAGUUUCCAAGUCCUGUUUCUCAUUAGUACCUUGUAUUCAUCCUCCAUUGCUCGUUUCCAAUCUUUACUUAACAGAGCUUCAGAUACAUCAUUGGGUUCUUCUCUGUUCAGUUGAUACUCUUUACAUUGAGUUGAGUAGACUUUUGGUUUGAAGAUACCGGCUUUACCUCUGGUAGUCAUAGGAUGUUCUAUGAGCUGUUUACCCAAUUUCACCAUUCUCAGAUCAUCAUCGGCUUCACUAUGUUGCAUUUGACCACUGUCCAUUUCAUCUUGAUCUUCAGUUGGAGCCUUCUCAUCACAUACUUCUAAGCCUCCAUUUUCAUCGACUUAUGGUACCAUGUCAUCAGACUUUUCUGACUGGUCAAUGUUGUGAGCUAUUGCUACAGAGGUUGUGUCAAGAUGAGCUGCAUCAAUUGAGUGUAUUGGGUUGUAAUUUAAGGAAGUAUAAAAAGGCAGAUACUGAAUUAUGGUUUCAAGUUUUUGAGAAUUUUCAAUUUUGUUGAGAAAGCCCGACUUGAAUGGACAUUCCUUUUCAUUGAAAACUACAGGUCUAGAUAGGUAAACUCUACCAGUUGGACUGAGGCACUUAUACCCUUUAUGUGAGUUGCUAAAACCAAAAAAUACACAUUUUACAGAAUGAAAGCUGAACUUGUGUUUUUGGUAUGGUCUAAGACAAGGAAAACGUGCACAUCCAAAGAUAAUUAGGAAAUUAUAGUCAACUUGCUCAUUAUAUAGCACUUGACAAGGUGGUUUCAUUUUGAAAACUGGUGUUGGCAAUCUGUUAAUCAAGUAAGUGGCAGUUUGAAAGGACUCCCACCAAUAGUGUAAAGGUAUACUAGCCUGGGCAAGAAGUGUCAAUCCAAUUUUGUGUUUUCUUUCUGCUCUAACAUUUUAGGCUGAGGUGUGAGGACAAGAAAAUCUCAUAUCAAUACCAGAUUGGAGAGCUAAGUCAAUGAAUGCUCUAAACUCACCUUCCAGUCUGAUUGAAGUGUCUUUAUUUUCCUGUCAAGCUUAUUUUCAACUAAGUUUUUGAAUUGGGUGAAUGCAUCUAGGGCAUCCGAUUUGUUUCUCAUAGGAUAUAUCUAGGUGUACCUGCUGUAGUCAUCAAUGAAAAGGAUAUAGUAUCUAAAACGACUUGUAAAAUUUAAAGGUGCAGAACCCCCGACAUCCGUAUGGAUUAAGUCCAGGGAAGCUGAGGUAUGUGAGGUAGACAAUUUAAAUGACAAAGAAUGUGAUUUGCCAAACUGGCAGGCAUAGCAGAAAUGAUUGAUUUCAUUGUCAUGAAAUUUUGUAUUAAGACUUGAGCAAUUGUGACAUCACAUGAUUUGUAAAAUGUCCAAAUCUCAUGUGCCACAAUUUAAAACUAGACUCGGAUUCUCUGGCACUUCUGGGAACAUCAGACACUUUAGACUUGGCUACAAAAGUUGAAAAACUCGACUCAUUUGGAUAGAUUGACACUUGGUAGGAAGACCUUUUUGCUUGAUUAUUUGGGUGCUCAAUCUGAUACAGUCCAUCCCUAAGCUUCCCCCGCAGCAACACCUCUUGGGUUUGUUUGUCCUUGACAACACAAGAAUCAGAAUAAAAUUCCAUAAAGACAUUGUUAUGAGGAGUUAACUAUGAAACACUAACCAAAUUUUUCUUAAUUGAUGGCACCAACGUGUUACCAAGAAUUAGUGACUUGUCAUUUAAUGUUUUCAAGUGUUAGGUGCCAAUAUGUGAGAUGUGAAGUUCAUUUCCAUUGCCAACAGUAAGACUUUCCUUACCAUCAUACUCACAUGCUCCAGUCAGGUUUUCUUUCUCAGUUGUAACAUGAUUACUUGCUCCUGAAUCAGCAUACUGAUAGGUUCCAACCUGUAGCAACAAGAAAGAACAGGAGAAAAUAUAGGAAAAAGUUUUUUUAUAAUGAUGGAAAGGGUAUUAAAACUCGAAAAUAGAAACGAACAGUGGCCAUUUGAGAAUUACUCUCCUAACAUAACUUCACUAACAAUCAUUUUUUCCUCUCCCCUGACUCCAUUCCUCUAUUCUAUUUAUAAACCCUAUGUGUAACUAACUCUAGCCAUGUCAUCUUUACUCAACAUAAUUUGUUACUGCCCACAGCCUUCUUUAACCUUCUAGAAUAGGUGUAAUUGAUUGGGGCUCUAUCACAUACCAAGCUAGAUCUGUAACAGUGAUUGAUGAAGCCACAAAUGCAACUGGUCUUGAGAGAUUGUUCUGAUAUUAGCAGUCAGGUUUGGCACCCAUGUACCUUUCAUCAUAGCUAUUGAAGCAUUUUUCUGCUGAGUAAUUACUCAUUCCACAGAUUUGACAAGGGCCUUUUUUCUCCAGUUUGCCUACCUCCUCUGCCUCAGCUUCUUCCCCAGUAGUUGCUAUUUCUACCACCAAAGUUAGGUCUACCUCCUCUGCUUGCAUUUGACUUGUGCACAAAGUUUGCUGAGGCUAGCAUUCAGAUGUUCAAUCCUGCUUUCAUAUGUCAUGAGUACAGAUUGUAACUCGUGCCAAGAGACAGACUCUCUGCUGGUGAUUUGAACCACAAUGGGAGUGUAAUCCUCAUCCAAUCCAGCUAACACUUGGGUCACAAGGUCCCUGUGAGGAACACUUUUUCCAGCAAUCUCGAGGUUAUCUGCCAACUGCUUGACUGUGUUUAGGUAUUGAUCAAUACUGAUUGAGCCUUUCCUUGUUCUUUGGAGUUCAACAAUGAGGAAGGUAACUCUAAACUUGUUAAUAACUCCAAAGCUUUCUUGGACUGCAUUCCACAGAUCACAGGUGUUGAGGAUCCCAUCACUCUCAUGGCGAUUUCAGGUGUCAUUGAUGAAUAAAGCCAACCCAUCAGUAGUUGAUUAGUAGACAUCCGUUUUCCGUCCUCAACAUUCGAUGUUAGUUCAACAAUUAAAUCAGUCGAACAGUGGUUUGUGUUGCCAGGAAUUCUGAUGGACAUGUUCUUGUUCCAAAGAUGAAUCCUUCCAGGUUAUGGCCCUUAAGGAUGGGCAUAACCAUGUUCUUCCAUAGCAAGAAGUUGUUUCUGUCAGGCUUUACUGGUGGAACUUGAGUAAGACUUAUCCAAAAUGCUGUAAUCUGAUUUCCUCCCUGAUGCAGCACCAAUAGGAUGAUAAAUAGAAAUAGAAUAAAGAUUCAGAAAGAAUGGAGAAUUAAGGGAGGGGAUAAAAGAAGAAUUCAAUAGAAGAAGGAGAGGGAUGCGCCAUAAG
rnacentral:lncRNA from 1 species